GCGGCGUCGGAAAUUUCCGCUCGAGAGCAGCUUGCAGGUUUAAAUUGGGUAGUUGGGGAGGCACAAGUACGGGCUCGCAGCUCCUUUCCCCGGUGUUGCCAGAUUCUGGAGUCUUCUGGUGGCUUGUGUGAGAAAGGAUUAUUAUUGCGUGUGUAGGACCAGCCUAUAUAGCCUAUAGGUCCACCUCUGAGACUUCAGUGUCCUUCACUGAGGACAUCAUAGCUACAAUAUUGCCAGAUUACACUUUUUAAAAUUUUGUUUGAGGUCUUCUGUGAGUGAUAGUGGUUCUAGAUCACUUCGUCAUGCUCUCUGUCUGUCCAGCCUGUUCUUAUCUGAAUACACAGAAUGUCUCUGUCCCUGUUCUGACACAAUAAUACUCUGUUCAUAGUUAGGUCAAGCAAUGAACAACAGCCAGACCUCCACCCUCUUCUUCCUUUUCUGUAUAUGUAUACUCUGAUUAUAUCAGCACUGAACUAAGAAACUAAGAAACCUUAACUUGUUUCUCAGGGGGGGAAAAAAAGGAAAACUUACAUUAAGACUUGUAAAUGGACUGUAAUUAGUUUUCAAAGUAAAGCUACUGUUAACUUAAAAUGUAGAGCGGUCGAGGCUUUGGGCUGCAGGAAAACUCAUGAUGUCCUUUUGGAGUCCAUCCAUCCAUUUUCUAUAUCACUUUUCCUACAGGGCCACGGGGAACCUGGAGCCUAUCCCAGCGAGCAUAGAUAAAGAGAUAGAUAGAUAGAUAGAGCAUGGUAGAUAGAUAGAUAGACCAUGGGGCACAAGGCGGGGUACACCCUUGACAGGGCACCAAUCACAUACAUGUUCACAGACCCAUUAAUACACUAUAGACACUUCAGACAUGCCAAUCAGCCUACCAUGCAUGUCUUUGGACUGGAGAAGGAAACCAGAGUAUCCAGAGGAAACCCCCACAGCACUGGGAGAACAUGCAAACUCCACACACACACACACACACACACACACACACACACACACACACACACACACACACACACAGGGCAGAGUGGGAAUCAAACCCCCAACGCUGGAGGUGUUAACACAAACGUGCUAACCACUAAGCCACCAUGUGCCUCCCUUUUGGAGUCAUUUGUCUAACUUGUUUAUAUUUUUCACUAUUUCUCAGAAAUAAAGCUACUUUCGUAACUGAUGUGGCGCCAUUUCAUUAAAAUACCUUUUAAUAUUCAUCUUUCACCUGGAAAUGUGAAUAUAGUGUGUCUUUUUAAAUAAUACAAAAUAAGACCACUGUUAAAGCCAGUCAAAAGUACACCACAUGCUGGUGAAAACUAUUUAAUUCGAAAAGACACACACACACACACACACACACACACACACACACACACACACACACAAGAGAAUGCCAGUGAGAGGUCAUGACCUCAAAGGUCAGAAGUUGUGAAAAGUGUGUGGCAGAUGGUACUGCUGGAUUAGGGUUUGGUUACUUGUGAGGAACAACAACAAUAAUUCAUUCAUUCAAACAGGAGAGUGCGGAUGUAGAUGAGAACAGUGUGGCCUGAUUGCUUUAAGAAUCACAGUAUAUGAUGCAAUGAUACCCUCUGCAAACAUCAUCACAGUUUAACACAACUUUACUGCUGGCAGGGUUGCCAGAUAGUUGCUUUUGGUGUAAAUCGAGCAGAAGAUGAUGUGCUUGGCUGUUCUGUAUUAACUGAGGUUGAUUUUUACUACAGUAAUUUUCCAACUGAACGUUAUCUCGGGAAGGUUUUCAACAAACUGUGCUACAGUAGCUCAUCUGCGGGAUCGGACCAGACGGUCUAGCCUUCGCUCCCUAUUUGCAUCAAUAAGCCUUGGGAACCCAGGUCCCUGUUUUCGGUUCACCACUUUUGGUAGGUACUAACCACUGCAUACCAAGAACACCCCACAAGACCAGCAGUUUUGGAGACGCUGUGACCCAGUCGUCUAGCCAUCACAAUUUGGCCCUUGUCAAAGUCGCUCAGGUCCUUACACUAUCCCAUUUUCCCUGCUAACAACACAUCAAUUUCGAGAACUGACUGUUCAGUUGCUGCUUAAUAUAUCCCGCUCCUCUACAGGUGCCACUGUCAGUGGUUCUAAUGUUAUGGCUGAUCGGUGCAAAUAAUAAUAAUAAUAACAAUAAUAGAUAUAAGUAUCAUUCAUUCAUUCAAACAACAGAGUGUGAGUGUAGAUGAUGACAGUGUGGCCUGAUUCCUGGUCCCACAAUUCCGAAAAAAGGGGUAAGUAUCAUACCUAAGAAUACAUGAUGCAAUGGUGCCCUCUGCAUACAUCAACACGAAUCAACAUAGCUUUACAGGGUUGCCAGAUAGAUAGCUUUUACAUGCUUUUUUGUGUGUAUAUUGCGAGUUCUUCAGAAAAUGAUGUGUUUGGAUGAGAUUCCUUAACUGAGGUUGAUUUUUACUACAGUAGUUUAACAACAUGAGGUCCACUCAGUAUCAUCUCAAUAAGUCUCUCUCUCUCUCUCUCUCUCUCUCUCUCUCUCUCUCUCUCCCCAUGAGAGCGUUUGUCUUGUUCAUUAGGGGAUCUAAAGCCACUGACGGAGAUCUGGCGCCCUCUUGAGGCGGAUGUGCACAGUGGGAAAUUCAGGCCUCCGCAGAGAUUAUUAGUUCAUGAAGAUCAGCUGAGAAGCGCGCGACUACCUCUGGUCUAUGCGGUGCUGGAUGUGCUGGCAUCCUGUCGAGCUGUUGAAAAUGGAGAGAAGUCUGAAAGAGUCAUGAUAAGAAAGUUCCCCCCCGCAGUAGGGUGCGCGGUAAUGUGGGCGAUGCACUCGUACUGACAACCGCGUUGCUCUUUAAGUUCGGAGUGUGUGAUCAAUAAAACAUGUGCUCUGUGCACAGUGCUGGUGUGCGGUACUGGUUUGAGCUGUGCGUACGUGGGAGGAAUGGGAAAACUCCAAGUCUGCCUGUUAGAUCUCUGGCGAAUGGAGACGGAUGAUAAGACACACUUUUGCCCAACGUUGAGUUUUACACUGAUGAAACUCACCACUCAGCGUCCGGUCCUCUUACAAUCCAACCCCUGAUCAUAACACUGGUGCUAACUUCCGCCUUCAUCAAAUGCAUAUAAAUAAUACUGUAGCUUUCAGUUAUUUGUACGUAAAUGCAGUGUGUGUGUGUGUGUGUGUGUGUGUGUGUGUGUGUGUGUAAGAAAAAGGUUCUACAUCUCUCUCUCUUGCUCUUUCUACGCUUCUCUGACUGAAAUACAACUGUAUGAUAUGACCUCUCGAUGAUAUGAUUUCUCCGUCUGCGUGCAUGAGAUGAUGUUUUAAAUCUGUAACAGUAAUCGCACUUAUAUACCCACUCACACACACACACACACACACACACACACACACACACACACACACACACACACACAAGGUGUAAUUAAAAGCUUGAGCUCUCCCGAGACUCGAAUUUCCUUAAUGUGUCAGAGCUGAGUGAGAAGCUUCCUCAACAUACGCGCGCACACACACACACACACACACACACACACACACACAAAAUGAGAGUAGGUGGUUAAUGAAAUUACAGAAGAGCGACUAAAUAUGCGAUUAAAGAGCCGUAUAGUCCAACUGCCCUCAUUCGAAUUUACUAAGUGCAGUUAAAGUGAUGAAUGCAGUCACCGGGUCUGAUGUUCCUCUGCUCCUGAUUGGUCCGUGCUGGAUAAGGAGCGUGUUUAUUUAACACUGUUGGAAGGAGUCUCCAGUAACAGAGC